rnacentral:rRNA from 1 species
AUGAACGCUGGCGGCGUGCCUCAUACAUGCCAGUCGAGCGAACGGACGAGAAGCUUGCUUCUCUGAUGUUAGCGGCGGGCGGGUGAGUAACACGUGGAUAACCUACCUAUAAGACUGGGAUAACUUCGGGAAACCGGAGCUAAUACCGGAUAAUAUUUUGAACCGCAUGGUUCCAAAGUGAAAGACGGUCUUGCUGUCACUUAUAGAUGGAUCCGCGCUGCAUUAGCUAGUUGGUAAGGUAACGGCUUACCAAGGCAACGAUGCAUAGCCGACCUGAGAGGGUGAUCGGCCACACUGGAACUGAGACACGGUCCAGACUCCUACGGGAGGCAGCAGUAGGGAAUCUUCCGCAAUGGGCGAAAGCCUGACGGAGCAACGCCGCGUGAGUGAUGAAGGUCUUCGGAUCGUAAAACUCUGUUAUUAGGGAAGAACAUAUGUGUAAGUAACUGUGCACAUCUUGACGGUACCUAAUCAGAAAGCCACGGCUAACUACGUG